rnacentral:lncRNA from 1 species
CCAAGAUGUCGAUGCCCAUGGUACCAUCCAUCUUCUGCACAUGCGACGUCUCGCUAUCCCAUGUCACUCCUUCGUCGACGGUGUCGUCCUCAUCUUUUUGUUCUUUUGCAUCCUUUCUCUCAUCUCUAUGCCACAACUGCACUCCCCUUUCUUCACUUUAUUGGCGACCUUUUCUACUACAAGUUUUGUAAAUUUAUCUUUUGCCCUCCGAUACGGUUGGCAAUGCUUCCAACGUUGAGCCAAAACAAAAAAUGAGUGCCUAUUUUUUUUUACAUUUCUUUUUUGAGGGAAACUACGGCGGGCAAAGCCAGUCUGCACAACUUUAUUAAAAAGAGAGUUUAAGUACAAGC